rnacentral:rRNA from 1 species
CCUACGGGAGGCAGCAGUAGGGAAUUUUGCGCAAUGGGCGAAAGCCUGACGCAGCAACGCCGCGUGAUCGAGACGCCCUUCGGGGUGUAAAGAUCUGUCAGUGGGGACGAAACUUGACGGUACCCACAGAGGAAGCACCGGCUAACUCCGUGCCAGAAGCCGCGGUAAAACGGGGGGUGCAAGCGUUGUCCGGAAUCAUUGGGCGUAAAGGGUUCGUAGGCGGGACGUAAAGUCGGGUGUUAAAGGCAGAGGCUCAACUUCUGUACGGCACUGGAUACUGGGGGGCUAGAAUGCGGUAGAGGUAAAGGGAAUUCCUGGUGUAGCGGUGAAAUGCUUAGAUAUCAGGAGGAACAUCGGUGGCGUAAGCGCUUUACUGGGCCGUAAUUGACGCUGAGGAACGAAAGCCAGGGUAUCAAACAGGAUUAGAUACCCCGGUAGUC